AGGACGAACGCUGGCGGCGUGCUUAACACAUGCAAGUCGAGCGGUAAGGCCUUUCGGGGUACACGAGCGGCGAACGGGUGAGUAACACGUGGGUGAUCUGCCCUGCACUCUGGGAUAAGCCUGGGAAACUGGGUCUAAUACCGGAUAUGACCUGCUCUCGCAGUGGGGGGUGGGUGGAAAGAUUUAUCGGUGCAGGAGUCGGGCCCGCGGCCUAUCCAGCGUUUGGUUGGUGGGUAAUCGGCCUACCGAAGGCGACGACGGGUACGCCGACCUGGAGAGGGUCGACCGGACCAACGACGUGGGACUGAACGACGACCGGCCAGACCUCCGUACGGGAGCAGC
rnacentral:rRNA from 1 species